UACGUAGGGGGCAAGCGUUGUCCGGAAUCAUUGGGCGUAAAGAGCGUGUAGGCGGCUCGGUAAGUCCGCUCUGAAAGCCCGGGGCUCAACCCCGGGAGGCGGGUGGAUACUGUCGGGCUAGAGUCCGGAAGAGGCGAGUGGAAUUCCUGGUGUAGCGGUGAAAUGCGCAGAUAUCAGGAGGAACACCAAUGGCGAAGGCAGCUCGCUGGGACGGUACUGACGCUGAGACGCGAAAGCGUGGGGAGCAAACAGG
rnacentral:rRNA from 1 species